rnacentral:rRNA from 1 species
AACGAACGCUGGCGGCAUGCCUAACACAUGCAAGUCGAACGAGACCUUCGAGUCUAGUGGCGCACGGGUGCGUAACGCGUGGGAACCUGCCCUUAGGUUCGGAAUAACUCCCCGAAAGGGGUGCUAAUACCGGAUAAUGUCUUCGGACCAAAGAUUUAUCGCCUUUGGAUGGGCCCGCGUUGGAUUAGCUAGUUGGUAGGGUAAAAGCCUACCAAGGCGACGAUCUAUAGCUGGUCUGAGAGGAUGAUCAGCCACACUGGGACUGAGACACGGCCCAGACUCCUACGGGAGGCAGCAGUGGGGAAUAUUGGACAAUGGGCGAAAGCCUGAUCCAGCAAUGCCGCGUGAGUGAUGAAGGCCUUAGGGUUGUAAAGCUCUUUUACCCGGGAUGAUAAUGACAGUACCGGGAGAAUAAGCUCCGGCUAACUCCGUG